rnacentral:rRNA from 1 species
CUGGCCUGCUCACUGACGUAAAUUAAAGAGCUGCGGUAUUUUGACUGUACAAAGGUAGCAUGAUCAUUAGUUUUUUAAUUAGAAACUUGUAUGAAUGGUUUGACAAAAUAAAAAUUGUCUCUUUUGUUAAAAUAAAACUUAACUUUUAAGUGAAAAGGCUUAAAUAAAUCAAAGAGACGAUAAGACCCUAUAAAGCUUGAUAUUUGCAUUUAUUUUAAAAAUUUUACAUAAUUAUAAAAUUAAAUAGACAUUUAUUUGACUGGGGCGGUAUAUAAAUAAUUUUUGGCAACUUUGUAAAUUUAAAACAUAUUGUAUGAAAAGUAGUAAUAAUUGAUCUUUUUUAAAAAUUUAAAGGAAAGUUACUUUAGGGAUAACAGCGUUAUUUUUUUUGAGAGCUCAUAUCGAAAAAAAAGAUUGCGACCUCGAUGUUGAAUUAAAAAUUCUCUAUAGUGUAGCAGCUAUGAAAGAAGGUCUGUUCGACCUUUAAAAUUUUACGUGAUCUGA